UACGAAGGGGGCUAGCGUUGCUCGGAAUCACUGGGCGUAAAGCGCACGUAGGCGGAUUUGUAAGUCAGGGGUGAAAUCCCGAGGCUCAACCUCGGAACUGCCUUUGUGACUGCAUGGCUGGAGUGCGGCAGAGGGGGAUGGAAUUCCGCGUGUAGCAGUGAAAUGCGUAGAUAUGCGGAGGAACACCGAUGGCGAAGGCAAUCCCCUGGGCCUGCACUGACGCUCAUGCACGAAAGCGUGGGGAGCAAACAGG
rnacentral:rRNA from 1 species